rnacentral:rRNA from 1 species
UACGUAGGGUGCGAGCGUUGUCCGGAAUUACUGGGCGUAAAGAGUUCGUAGGCGGUUUGUCGCGUCGUUCGUGAAAACUUGGGGCUUAACUCCAAGCGUGCGGGCGAUACGGGGCAGACUUGAGUACUACAGGGGGAGACUGGAAUUCCUGGUGUAGCGGUGAAAUGCGCAGAUAUCAGGGAGGAACACCGGUGGCGAAAGGC